UAGGGAAUCUUCCACAAUGGGCGAAAGCCUGAUGGAGCAACGCCGCGUGAGCGAAGAAGGUCUUCGGAUCGUAAAGCUCUGUUGUAAGGGAAGAACAAGCGCAGCAGUCACUGGCUGCGCCCUGACGGUACCUUACUAGAAAGCCACGGCUAACUACGUGCCAGCAGCCGCGGUAAUACGUAGGUGGCAAGCGUUGUCCGGAAUUAUUGGGCGUAAAGCGCGCGCAGGCGGUCUCUUAAGUCUGAUGUGAAAGCCCCCGGCUCAACCGGGGAGGGUCAUUGGAAACUGGGAGACUUGAGUGCAGGAGAGGGAAGUGGAAUUCCAUGUGUAGCGGUGAAAUGCGUAGAGAUAUGGAGGAACACCAGUGGCGAAGGCGGCUUCCUGGCCUGUAACUGACGCUGAGGCGCGAAAGCGUGGGGAGCAAACAGG
rnacentral:rRNA from 1 species